UGUGGCAGGUCGUUGAAUUUCUCUCAACAUCCGCUAUCAUACGAUGAAUAAAAAAAUAUAGGGUUCGAUUUAACAAAGUUAACUUGAGAUCCCCUUCUAAAUACAAAUUACUUAUACCACAUAAUGUCCGACUUUAUGUCAUACAACUUUUGCAAGAACAUGUUUUUGAUAGCUUCAAUCCCUCAAGAGAUAUUCCACUGUUGCCGUUUAAACGUAACACACCAUAUGUUUUACGUUACUGUAACACUAAAUAUUCUUCUCUACUGUAACAAUGAAGGUUACUUAACAUUUACAUUCAUUCGUGUUAGUGUUCUCUGUAACCAAACUUCUUCGAAAGACGUCGUCGGUGUGCACAAGUCCGAGGUAUCUGUUCAAAGGCUCAUCCGUCAUCAGUCGUCCAAUCACGACGGUCUAGCGUAAUGUACCUCGGCGAGUGCCAUCGGCGUAAUCAUUUACUCCCCUUCUUUGAUUAAUGACGAGUACGGCGUGCGUCUUGACGAGUUGAAACGCAACACCGGCAACUCCUGGACGUGGCGAGAUCGUCGCUUUUUGUAGCUCCUCGUCAGUACGCUCGAGAGCCUGAUGGACGUGUUCACAUGGACAAAGGCGAGGACCGACAUCGUUUCGACAGUGCCCCGUGUUCGUUUAGUCCGCGACUAGUCGUACGUCUUUCGGUUACAUACAGACAUACAUAGGCGGUUGGACUGAGAUGACAACGCGCGUCGUGUACGAGUACGAAGGUUAAUGGACACAGAAUGCCGAUCGAUCAUCCGACCACUGGUAUAGGAUAUAUUAUGUUUAGGGGAUUGAAAUAGGAGAGAUGGGUCGAUAAUGGGGAUUCUGUGUGGAGUAUAUUGUUGGAUUACUGCGAAUAUUUAUGAAUAUUUCUAUUUUUAUAAAUUCAGGGAAACGGAGUUUAAUUACCGGCUGUACAAGAAAUGGUUCUUACAAGCACCGAGGAAGUCCGUCACGUCCGAUUCGUCACGGUCCACGUCAAUUCUGUCGAUCGAUUUCCCAAAAAGUUCCGAUAUCCGAAUUACCUACACCGAUGUUGCCGACGGGUAAAAAGUGGAACUGCAAGAAGACGACACAAGAAAGGAAGAACAAGCAUGUAAUAUAUGUAUACAUUCACUCACAAAAGUAUUCGGGCACUUAUGGAAAUCUUUUACGAACUGUUCUAAAAUUUCUAAUUCUAAAAUUUCACGAUAAUUAAAUAACAUAUUUCCAGUUUCUCGAUUUUUGAUCGUGUUUUUAUUAAUACGUUAGGUCUUGUUUCGACAUCUCGUGAACACUCCAGUUUACUUCUUCGGGACAGAUACGAAAACUACAUAUUAUAGGAAACAUUUUGAAAUUUCACUAGUACUGUAACGGAAUACAACUAUUACGAUUGUAUUGGUCAAGUUUGAUACAAAUCUGAAAGUGUAUAUAGAAACUACAAGAUAUUUAGCGUAAGUAUAUAUUUC